GUGUCAGCAGCCGCGGUAACACGUAGGAGACUAGCGUUAUUCGGAUUUACUGGGCGUAAAGCGCGUGCAGGCGGUUCGGUUAGUUGGAUGUGAAAGCUCCUGGCUUAACUGGGAGAGGUCGUUCAAUACUGCCGGACUUGAGAGUGGUAGAGGGAGUUGGAAUUCCGGGUGUAGUGGUAAAAUGCGUAGAUAUCCGGAAGAACACCAGUGGCGAAAGCGGACUCCUGGACCAUUUCUGACGCUCAGACGCGAAAGCUAGGGGAGCGAACGGGAUUAGAUACCCUUGUAGUCC
rnacentral:rRNA from 1 species